UACGAAGGGGGCUAGCGUUGCUCGGAAUUACUGGGCGUAAAGCGCACGUAGGCGGCUUGUUAAGUCAGGUGUGAAAUCCUGGAGCUCAACUCCAGAACUGCCUUUGAUACUGGCGAGCUUGAGUUCGGGAGAGGUGAGUGGAACUGCGAGUGUAGAGGUGAAAUUCGUAGAUAUUCGCAAGAACACCAGUGGCGAAGGCGGCUCACUGGCCCGAUACUGACGCUGAGGUGCGAAAGCGUGGGGAGCAAACAGG
rnacentral:rRNA from 1 species